GACGAACGCUGGCGGCGUGCCUAAUACAUGCAAGUUGAGCGCUGAAGGUUGGUACUUGUACCGACUGGAUGAGCAGCGAACGGGUGAGUAACGCGUGGGGAAUCUGCCUUUGAGCGGGGGACAACAUUUGGAAACGAAUGCUAAUACCGCAUAAAAACUUUAAACACAAGUUUUAAGUUUGAAAGAUGCAGUUGCAUCACUCAAAGAUGAUCCCGCGUUGUAUUAGCUAGUUGGUGAGGUAAAGGCUCACCAAGGCGAUGAUACAUAGCCGACCUGAGAGGGUGGUCGGCCACAUUGGGACUGAGACACGGCCCAAACUCCUACGGGAGGCAGCAGUAGGGAAUCUUCGGCAAUGGACGAAAGUCUGACCGAGCAACGCCGCGUGAGUGAAGAAGGUUUUCGGAUCGUAAAACUCUGUUGGUAGAGAAGAACGUUGGUGAGAGUGGAAAGCUCAUCAAGUGACGGUAACUACCCAGAAAGGGACGGCUAACUACGUG
rnacentral:rRNA from 1 species